AUAUUGUGUUCAUUUCAUGUGUACAGUGCAGUGAUUCAGUGAUAUACGUAUGUGUGCAUGUGUGGGUAUAUAUAUAUAUAUAUAUGUGUGUAUAUGUAUGCCCCUUUUCAGAUUCCCUUGUAGGUUAUUACAGUCUUUUAAAAUGAUUUUUCUUUUUUCCCAUUUCAUACUCUGGCAAUAAACUGUAUUGAAGGAAGCAAGGAUGAUAGAUGAAGGAUCCAGGUGUCCUGAGGGACUCUGAGGUGAUUCAGCACUUUUUGAAAGUAGGCUUCAGACACAAGCAAUUUAUUUUCCUUCAUCUUGAAGCUUGCCUACCUACUCUGGGGCAGUGCCCUCAUGGACACACCACUUGGAAUAAACUUGUUGGAGAGGACUGUAGGACCUCACAGCCUGUGUGCUUACCUGUACCUGUGGUUGUUCAGGACACACUUCGAAAGAGGUGUUCACAUUCCAGAGAGAAAACUUCCUCUCCUCAGUCUGACAUUUUCCAACGUGUUGAUACAUACCCAAUGGAGUGAUUCUACAGAAGAGGGUGCCACUCACAGCUCUGACCUGAAUGAAGUGGCUCCCCGAAUUGUAUUAAUGUCCUAAUGAAUAUACUCAAGUUAACGGUGUCAGAGUCUUGCUACGCACACCUGCAGCUGAGAGGACAGUAUGGGUCUGGAGUGAGUCUGAAUUUUCCUUCCACAAAAAUAAUUUUGGCAGAUGGUGAUCAAUAUCUUCCUCCCAUAUGUUUUAAAUUCUCUAUAAAGGAUAAUUGAAGACACCCAUCUCAGCAGUGCUGUUCGAUGUGAAUGCCUUCAGCAAUUCUAAAAAGGUAAUUUGGAAAAGGAAGGAGACUGACAUUUGGCUCAUGUAUACUAUGAUCAAGUCUGUGUUAUGCACCU
rnacentral:lncRNA from 1 species